AAUCAACGCUGGCGGCGUGCCUAACACAUGCAAGUCGAGCGGGAAAGGGGGCUUCGGCCCCUGAGUAUAGCGGCGGACGGGUGAGUAACACGUGGGUAAUUUGCCCUUGGGUGUGGAAUAACUCAGGGAAACUUGAGCUAAUACCGCAUGACAUCCUCUUCGCACACGAGUUGAGGAUCAAAGCCGGGGACCCUUCGGGGCCUGGCGCCUGAGGAGAAGCCCGCGCCCGAUUAGCAGUUGGUGAGGUAAUGGCUCACCAAGGCUACGAUCGGUAGCCGGCCUGAGAGGGCGGACGGCCACACUGGGACUGAGACACGGCCCAGACUCCUACGGGAGGCAGCAGUGGGGAAUUUUUGUCAAUGGGGGAAACCCUGAACAAGCAACGCCGCGUGGAGGACGACGACCU
rnacentral:rRNA from 1 species